ensembl:lncRNA
GCCUGUCCCACUGCAAAUGAAGAUCAAGUUCACAACCACCUGAAGAUCCUGAACAUUCAUAAUUCUAUGGGUCUCAUGAGAUGCAACCCAGAGUCCUGAGGGAGCUGACUGAUGUAGUCACCAGGCCACUCUCGAUGAUAUUUGAAAAGUUAUGGCAGUAAAGUCUCCGGUGACUGGAAAGAAGUGUCACUUCGAUAUCCUGAAGCAUAGCUUUGCAUGAGAAAGUGUGAUCAUAAUCUUUUUUAUGCACAUCUGAAGCCAAUCAGAAAUCAGAUGUUGGAAAUGUAUGGAAGUGUUGACUAUUAGGACAAAAAUAUUGAAAGGAAACAAGAAUAUGAAGAUAAUUUUUUGCCAAUUGAAGAGAGAAAAAAAAUAAAUAAAAAGCACAUGUAAUAGAAAAUAGUCUGGCUAGACCUCCCUGUCUAAAUUUUUCAUUCUGAAUAUUAAUUGUUGGAACAAAACUAUUGUAAUUCUGGAGAGAAAAUAUCAGAAUAAUUAUCAUUUUUGUAAAUAUUCAAAAAUAUCAGAAAUGCUGCUAUGUUUUUGGUCACACAAAGUUCUACAUUAAUAAAACAUAUUUCUAAUGAUUUAUUUUAAAUUUCCCUGCCACUUUAC